rnacentral:snRNA from 1 species
GUGCUCACUUCAGCAGUACAUAUACUAAAAUCGGAACGAUACAGAGAUUAGCGUGGCCCCUGCACAAGGAUGACACACAAAUUCGUGAAGCAUUCCAUAUUUUU